GCGAAUCGCCCUUGGGGUGCGCAGGCGCGAAAACUUUACAAUGCGGGAAACCGUGAUAAGGGGACACCGAGUGCCAGCAUCAUAUGCUGGCUGUCCAGGUGUGUAAAAUACACCUGUUAGCAAGGGCCGGGCAAGACCGGUGCCAGCCGCCGCGGUAACACCGGCGGCCCGAGUGGUGAUCGUGAUUAUUGGGUCUAAAGGGUCCGUAGCCGGUUUGGUCAGUCCUCCGGGAAAUCUGAUAGCUCAACUAUUAGGCUUUCGGGGGAUACUGCCAGACUUGGAACCGGGAGAGGUAAGAGGUACUACAGGGGUAGGAGUGAAAUCUUGUAAUCCCUGUGGGACCACCUGUGGCGAAGGCGUCUUACCAGAACGGGUUCGACGGUGAGGGACGAAAGCUGGGGGCACGAACCGGAUUAGAUACCCGGGUAGUCCCAGCCGUAAACGAUGCUCGCUAGGUGUCAGACAUGGCGCGACCGUGUCUGGUGCCGCAGGGAAGCCGUGAAGCGAGCCACCUGGGAAGUACGGCCGCAAGGCUGAAACUUAAAGGAAUUGGCGGGGGAGCAC
rnacentral:rRNA from 1 species